rnacentral:rRNA from 1 species
GACGAACGCUGGCGGCGCGCUUAACACAUGCAAGUCGAACGGAAAGGCCUGCUUUCCCUUGUGGAUUGCGGGUACUCGAGUGGCGAACGGGUGAGUAACACGUGAGUGAUCUGCCCCCAACUUGGGUAUAAGCCUGGGAAACUGGGUCUAAUUCCCAAUAGGACUGCAGGGUGGUGCCUGUGGUGGAAAACGAUUUUCUAGUGGUUGGGGAUGAGCUCGCGGCCUAUCAGCUUGUUGGUGGGGUAAUGGCCUACCAAGGCGGCGACGGGUAGCCGGCCUGAGAGGGUGGACGGCCACAUUGGGACUGAGAUACGGCCCAGACUCCUACGGGAGGCAGCAGUGGGGAAUAUUGCACAAUGGGCGGAAGCCUGAUGCAGCGACGCCGCGUGGGGGAUGACGGCCUUCGGGUUGUAAACUCCUUUCGACCGCGAGGAAGCCACCUGGUUGGAAGGGUGGUGACGGUAGUGGUAGAAGAAGCACCGGCUAACUACGUG